CCAGACUCCUACGGGAGGCAGCAGUGGGGAAUAUUGGACAAUGGGGGCAACCCUGAUCCAGCCAUGCCGCGUGUGUGAAGAAGGCCUUUUGGUUGUAAAGCACUUUAAGCAGGGAGGAGAGGCUAAUGGUUAAUACCCAUUAGAUUAGACGUUACCUGCAGAAUAAGCACCGGCUAACUCUGUGCCAGCAGCCGCGGUAAUACAGAGGGUGCGAGCGUUAAUCGGAAUUACUGGGCGUAAAGCGAGUGUAGGUGGCUCAUUAAGUCACAUGUGAAAUCCCCGGGCUUAACCUGGGAACUGCAUGUGAUACUGGUGGUGCUAGAAUAUGUGAGAGGGAAGUAGAAUUCCAGGUGUAGCGGUGAAAUGCGUAGAGAUCUGGAGGAAUACCGAUGGCGAAGGCAGCUUCCUGGCAUAAUAUUGACACUGAGAUUCGAAAGCGUGGGUAGCAAACAGGAUUAGAUACCCUGGUAGUCCACGCCGUAAACGAUGUCUACUAGCCGUUGGGGUCCUUGAGACUUUAGUGGCGCAGUUAACGCGAUAAGUAGACCGCCUGGGGAGUACGGCCGCAAGGUUAAAACUCAAAUGAAUUGACGGGGGCCCGCACAAG
rnacentral:rRNA from 1 species